UACGAGGGGUGCAAGCGUUGCUCGGAAUUAUUGGGCGUAAAGGGUGUGUAGGUGGCGUUGUUAGUCGUUUGUGAAAGCCCGGGGCUCAACCUCGGAAACGCGAACGAAACGGCAAUGCUUGAGUAUGUGAGAGGUAAGCGGAACUCAAGGUGUAGGGGUGAAAUCCGUUGAUAUCUUGGGGAACACCAAAAGCGAAGGCAGCUUACUGGCACAUUACUGACACUGAAACACGAAAGCGUGGGUAGCGAAUGGG
rnacentral:rRNA from 1 species